rnacentral:tRNA from 1 species
GCUGGCAUAGCUCAGUUGGCUAGAGCAGCGGUUUUGUAAACCGCAGGUCGUAGGUUCAAGUCCUAUUGCCAGCUCCA